rnacentral:rRNA from 1 species
UACAGAGGUCCCAAGCGUUGUUCGGAUUUACUGGGCGUAAAGGGUGCGUAGGUGGUCGGGUAAGUCUCACGUGAAAUCCCGCAGCUUAACUGCGGAACGGCAUGGGAUACUAUUCGGCUCGAGGAUUGGAGGGGGGACUGGAAUUCCCGGUGUAGCAGUGAAAUGCGUAGAUAUCGGGAGGAACACCAGUGGCGAAGGCGAGUCCCUGGACAAUUCCUGACGCUGAGGCACGAAAGCCAGGGGAGCAAACAGG